rnacentral:sRNA from 1 species
AGUUGAAACAACUGGGGACUCGUUCCCGUCUUACCUCUCUUUUUA